rnacentral:rRNA from 1 species
UACGGAAUGUGCAAACGUUAUUCGGAGUCACUGGGCUUAAAGAGUCCGUAGGCGGCUUGUUAGGUGAGGUGUGAAAUCCCUCGGCCCAACCGAGGAAUUGCGCUUCAAACCGGCAAGCUAGAGGAGGAUAGAGGUGGGCGGAACUGAUGGUGGAGCGGUGAAAUGCGUUGAUAUCAUCAGGAACACCGGAGGCGAAGGCGGUCCACUGGGUCCUAUCUGACGCUGAGGGACGAAAGCUAGGGGAGCGAACGGG